rnacentral:rRNA from 1 species
GGUUAAGCGACUAAGCGUACACGGUGGAUGCCACGGCAGUCAGAGGCGAUGAAGGACGUGCUAAUCUGCGAUAAGCGUCGGUAAGGUGAUAUGAACCGUUAUAACCGGCGAUUUCCGAAUGGGGAAACCCAGUGUGUUUCGACACACUAUCAUUAACUGAAUCCAUAGGUUAAUGAGGCGAACCGGGGGAACUGAAACAUCUAAGUACCCCGAGGAAAAGAAAUCAACCGAGAUUCCCCCAGUAGCGGCGAGCGAACGGGGAGCAGCCCAGAGCCUGAAUCAGUAUGUGUGUUAGUGGAAGCGUCUGGAAAGGCGCGCGAUACAGGGUGACAGCCCCGUACACAAAAAUGCACAUAUUGUGAGCUCGAUGAGUAGGGCGGGACACGUGGUAUCCUGUCUGAAUAUGGGGGGACCAUCCUCCAAGGCUAAAUACUCCUGACUGACCGAUAGUGAACCAGUACCGUGAGGGAAAGGCGAAAAGAACCCCGGCGAGGGGAGUGAAAAAGAACCUGAAACCGUGUACGUACAAGCAGUGGGAGCACGCUUAGGCGUGUGACUGCGUACCUUUUGUAUAAUGGGUCAGCGACUUAUAUUCUGUAGCAAGGUUAACCGAAUAGGGGAGCCGAAGGGAAACCGAGUCUUAACUGGGCGUUAAGUUGCAGGGUAUAGACCCGAAACCCGGUGAUCUAGCCAUGGGCAGGUUGAAGGUUGGGUAACACUAACUGGAGGACCGAACCGACUAAUGUUGAAAAAUUAGCGGAUGACUUGUGGCUGGGGGUGAAAGGCCAAUCAAACCGGGAGAUAGCUGGUUCUCCCCGAAAGCUAUUUAGGUAGCGCCUCGUGAAUUCAUCUCCGGGGGUAGAGCACUGUUUCGGCAAGGGGGUCAUCCCGACUUACCAACCCGAUGCAAACUGCGAAUACCGGAGAAUGUUAUCACGGGAGACACACGGCGGGUGCUAACGUCCGUCGUGAAGAGGGAAACAACCCAGACCGCCAGCUAAGGUCCCAAAGUCAUGGUUAAGUGGGAAACGAUGUGGGAAGGCCCAGACAGCCAGGAUGUUGGCUUAGAAGCAGCCAUCAUUUAAAGAAAGCGUAAUAGCUCACUGGUCGAGUCGGCCUGCGCGGAAGAUGUAACGGGGCUAAACCAUGCACCGAAGCUGCGGCAGCGACACUAUGUGUUGUUGGGUAGGGGAGCGUUCUGUAAGCCUGUGAAGGUGUGCUGUGAGGCAUGCUGGAGGUAUCAGAAGUGCGAAUGCUGACAUAAGUAACGAUAAAGCGGGUGAAAAGCCCGCUCGCCGGAAGACCAAGGGUUCCUGUCCAACGUUAAUCGGGGCAGGGUGAGUCGACCCUAAGGCGAGGCCGAAAGGCGUAGUCGAUGGGAAACAGGUUAAUAUUCCUGUACUUGGUGUUACUGCGAAGGGGGACGGAGAAGGCUAUGUUGGCCGGGCGACGGUUGUCCCGGUUUAAGCGUGUAGGCUGGUUUUCCGUGCAAAUCCGGAAAAUCAAGGCUGAGGCGUGAUGACGAGGCACUACGGUGCUGAAGCAACAAAUGCCCUGCUUCCGUGAAAAGCCUCUAAGCAUCAGGUAACAUCAAAUCGUACCCCAAACCGACACAGGUGGUCAGGUAGAGAAUACCAAGGCGCUUGAGAGAACUCGGGUGAAGGAACUAGGCAAAAUGGUGCCGUAACUUCGGGAGAAGGCACGCUGAUAUGUAGGUGAAGCGACUUGCUCGUGGAGCUGAAAUCAGUCGAAGAUACCAGCUGGCUGCAACUGUUUAUUAAAAACACAGCACUGUGCAAACACGAAAGUGGACGUAUACGGUGUGACGCCUGCCCGGUGCCGGAAGGUUAAUUGAUGGGGUUAGCCGCAAGGCGAAGCUCUUGAUCGAAGCCCCGGUAAACGGCGGCCGUAACUAUAACGGUCCUAAGGUAGCGAAAUUCCUUGUCGGGUAAGUUCCGACCUGCACGAAUGGCGUAAUGAUGGCCGGGCUGUCUCCACCCGAGACUCAGUGAAAUUGAACUCGCUGUGAAGAUGCAGUGUACCCGCGGCAAGACGGAAAGACCCCGUGAACCUUUACUAUAGCUUGACACUGAACAUUGAGCCUUGAUGUGUAGGAUAGGUGGGAGGCUUUGAAGUGUGGACGCCAGUCUGCAUGGAGCCGACCUUGAAAUACCACCCUUUAAUGUUUGAUGUUCUAACGUUGACCCGUAAUCCGGGUUGCGGACAGUGUCUGGUGGGUAGUUUGACUGGGGCGGUCUCCUCCUAAAGAGUAACGGAGGAGCACGAAGGUUGGCUAAUCCUGGUCGGACAUCAGGAGGUUAGUGCAAUGGCAUAAGCCAGCUUGACUGCGAGCGUGACGGCGCGAGCAGGUGCGAAAGCAGGUCAUAGUGAUCCGGUGGUUCUGAAUGGAAGGGCCAUCGCUCAACGGAUAAAAGGUACUCCGGGGAUAACAGGCUGAUACCGCCCAAGAGUUCAUAUCGACGGCGGUGUUUGGCACCUCGAUGUCGGCUCAUCACAUCCCGGGGCUGAAGUAGGUCCCAAGGGUAUGGCUGUUCGCCAUUUAAAGUGGUACGCGAGCUGGGUUUAGAACGUCGUGAGACAGUUCGGUCCCUAUCUGCCGUGGGCGCUGGAGAACUGAGGGGGCUGCUCCUAGUACGAGAGGACCGGAGUGGACGCAUCACUGGUGUUCGGGUUGUCAUGCCAAUGGCACUGCCCGGUAGCUAAAUGCGGAAGAGAUAAGUGCUGAAAGCAUCUAAGCACGAAACUUGCCCCGAGAUGAGUUCUCCCUGACUCCUUGAGAGUCCUGAAGGAACGUUGAAGACGACGACGUUGAUAGGCCGGGUGUGUAAGCGCAGCGAUGCGUUGAGCUAACCGGUACUAAUGAACCGUGAGGCUUAACCUU